rnacentral:lncRNA from 1 species
AAGACUCUGAACCCUCUCUAACCUGGUAAUACCAGACACCUCUCUUCUUUGGUCUCCAGCAUCUCCUUCUGAAUCACUAUGUCAGCUUUGCAAAGAGAAGGGAGAGGAAGAAGUGAUCUGCAACAGCCAAAAGAAAAAAAAAAUACUUCUAAAACCAUCAGACAAGAU